GGACGGAGAGCGCCCGCCGCUGCAUUUCCGGCGACACCUCGCAGUCAUUCCUGCGGCUUGCGCGCCCUUGUAGACAGCCGGGGCCUUCGUGAGACCGGCCUGGGGUAGUCUCCUGUCUGGACAGAGAAGAGAAAAAUGCAGGACACUGGCUCAGUAGUGCCUUUGCAUUGGUUUGGCUUUGGCUACGCAGCACUGGUUGCUUCUGGUGGGAUCAUUGGCUAUGUAAAAGCAGCGUGCCGUCCCUGGCUGCAGGGCUGCUCUUUGGCAGUCUAGCCGGCCUGGGUGCUUACCAGCUGUCUCAGGAUCCAAGGAACGUUUGGGUUUUCCUAGCUACAUCUGGUACCUUGGCUGGCAUUAUGGGAAUGAGGUUCUACCACUCUGGAAAAUUCAUGCCUGCAGGUUUAAUUGCAGGUGCCAGUUUGCUGAUGGUCGCCAAAGUUGGAGUUAGUAUGUUCAACAGACCCCAUUAGCAGAAGUCAUGUUCCAGCUUAGACUGAUGAAGAAUUAAAAAUCUGCAUCUUCCACUAUUUUCAAUAUAUUAAGAGAAAUAAGUGCAGCAUUUUUGCAUCUGACAUUUUAC
rnacentral:lncRNA from 1 species